rnacentral:rRNA from 1 species
CAGGCUUAACACAUGCAAGUCGAGGGGCAGCCUGGUCUUAGCUUGCUAAGGCCGAUGGCGACCGGCGCACGGGUGAGUAACACGUAUCCAACCUGCCGUCUACUCUUGGACAGCCUUCUGAAAGGAAGAUUAAUACAAGAUGGCAUCAUGAGUCCGCAUGUUCACAUGAUUAAAGGUAUUCCGGUAGACGAUGGGGAUGCGUUCCAUUAGAUAGUAGGCGGGGUAACGGCCCACCUAGUCUUCGAUGGAUAGGGGUUCUGAGAGGAAGGUCCCCCACAUUGGAACUGAGACACGGUCCAAACUCCUACGGGAGGCAGCAGUGAGGAAUAUUGGUCAAUGGGCGAGAGCCUGAACCAGCCAAGUAGCGUGAAGGAUGACUGCCCUAUGGGUUGUAAACUUCUUUUAUAAAGGAAUAAAGUCGGGUAUGGAUACCCGUUUGCAUGUACUUUAUGAAUAAGGAUCGGCUAACUCCGUGCCAGCAGCCGCGGUAAUACGGAGGAUCCGAGCGUUAUCCGGAUUUAUUGGGUUUAAAGGGAGCGUAGAUGGAUGUUUAAGUCAGUUGUGAAAGUUUGUGGCUCAACCGUAAAAUUGCAGUUGAUACUGGAUAUCUUGAGUGCAGUUGAGGCAGGCGGAAUUCGUGGUGUAGCGGUGAAAUGCUUAGAUAUCACGAAGAACUCCGAUUGCGAAGGCAGCCUGCUAAGCUGCAACUGACAUUGAGGCUCGAAAGUGUGGGUAUCAAACAGGAUUAGAUACCCUGGUAGUCCACACGGUAAACGAUGAAUACUCGCUGUUUGCGAUAUACUGCAAGCGGCCAAGCGAAAGCGUUAAGUAUUCCACCUGGGGAGUACGCCGGCAACGGUGAAACUCAAAGGAAUUGACGGGGGCCCGCACAAGCGGAGGAACAUGUGGUUUAAUUCGAUGAUACGCGAGGAACCUUACCCGGGCUUAAAUUGCAGAUGAAUUACGGUGAAAGCCGUAAGCCGCAAGGCAUCUGUGAAGGUGCUGCAUGGUUGUCGUCAGCUCGUGCCGUGAGGUGUCGGCUUAAGUGCCAUAACGAGCGCAACCCUUGUUGUCAGUUACUAACAGGUUCCGCUGAGGACUCUGACAAGACUGCCAUCGUAAGAUGUGAGGAAGGUGGGGAUGACGUCAAAUCAGCACGGCCCUUACGUCCGGGGCUACACACGUGUUACAAUGGGGGGUACAGAGGGCCGCUACCACGCGAGUGGAUGCCAAUCCCCAAAACCUCUCUCAGUUCGGACUGGAGUCUGCAACCCGACUCCACGAAGCUGGAUUCGCUAGUAAUCGCGCAUCAGCCACGGCGCGGUGAAUACGUUCCCGGGCCUUGUACACACCGCCCGUCAAGCCAUGGGAGCCGGGGGUACCUGAAGUGCGUAACCGCGAGGAGCGCCCUAGGGUAAAACUGGUGACUGGGGCUAAGUC